UACGGGGGGGGGCAAGCGUUGUUCGGAAUUACUGGGCGUAAAGGGCUCGUAGGCGGCCAACUAAGUCGGAUGUGAAAUCCCCAGGCUUAACCUGGGAACUGCAUCCGAUACUGGAUGGCUUGAAUCCGGGAGAGGGAUGCGGAAUUCCAGGUGUAGCGGUGAAAUGCGUAGAUAUCUGGAGGAACACCGGUGGCGAAGGCGGCAUCCUGGACCGGCAUUGACGCUGAGGAGCGAAAGCCAGGGGGAGCAAACAGG
rnacentral:rRNA from 1 species